UGUGUAUGCAGGAUGUAGAUGACUUGAAAAUUUUUUUUGGAAGAGGCUCAUGGUUCCCGAUAUUCCAUUAAUCUGGGUUACACCAACAUGUAUCGUGGUCUAUUGGUGGAACGGAUUGAAGAAGGAUAUAGCAGAGUUUGUGAACCUUAAUGUCAAAAGUUCAAGGAUGAACGUCAAUGACAAGGAGGUUUAACUCAAUAAAUAACUAUCCUUACUUGGAAAUGGGAAGCUGUCAUAAUGAUACCGUUGCGGGUUUGCUUCGCACCUAGAGGCAAAAUGACUAAAUGUGGGCUAUAAUGGAUAGAUUAAAAAAUCUGCCCAUUUUAUCCCUGUCAAAAUCACUUAUUCGGCGAAUGAGUAUGAUAAAUUGUAUCUUAAUGAUAUUGUGAGUUUUCAUGGGGUUCCCUUCUCUAUCAUCUCGGAUAGGAGUCUAAAAUUCACUUCAAGGUUUUUGAAAGCUUUCCAAAGUGCACGAGAUACCAAGGUGAAACUUAGUACCGCAUUUCAUCCACAAACGGAUGGUUUGGCGGAACAACCAUCUAAACUCAAAAAGACAUGUUGAGGGCAGGUGUCUUGACUUCAAGGUUAAUUGGGAUUACCGUCUACCAUUUAUUGAAUUUGCCUAUAAUAAUAGUUAUUAUUCGAGUAUUUCCAUGAAACCCUUUGAGGCCUUUUAUGGGAGGAGAUGUAGAUUUCCAAUCGGGUGAUUUUAGGUAGGUGAGUUUCCUCUAAUAUGUCCAGAAUCAAUUUAUGAGGUUGUGCAGAAAGUACGACAUAUAAUGGAUUGUUUGAAGACAUCCCAAAGUCGGAAAAACACUUAUGCCAACAAUAAGAAGAGGGACAAGGGACCUUGAGUUUAUGGUAGGUGACUUGGUUUAAUUGAAGAUAUCACCUAUGAAAGGGGUGAUGAGGUUUGGGAUUAAAGGGAAAUUUAGUCUGUUAUGUGGGGCCAUAUGAGGUUUUAAAAUGCAUCGGAAGUGUUGCCUAUGAGUUGAAGUUAUCUAUUUAGUUGGCUCCGGUCCAUCCAGUUUUCCAUGUGUCCAUGUUCAAAAGGUUCAUAGGUGAUUUGGUUUCUAUUCUUCCACUAGAAGUCUACUUGAGAGGCCGAGGCUGACAUUAUUUCUCGAUAUCCUCUAGUCAAGGUUGAGGUUCGGACCAUGGAAGUGUUUCGAGGACAAAUCGCAAGAAGCAUGAAUAGAUUCCAAAGUUAGUGAGUCCUCAAGUCCGAGGACAAAAUCCAUAAAUCUAGAUCUUUCUAUUUGUUUAGUCUAAAGACAUUGUUCUAUUUCUUAUCCUUUAAAGACUAUGUUGUUCUACUUAUGAGAUAUUGUAACAGUGUAAGGGCUAUGUCCUAAAUCUUGUACUCUUAUGUUAGAUAGGUAUAUGUGUGACAAUAUAGACAACUUUCGAUA